ensembl:lncRNA
UAUUGAUUACUUUGAGCGUUCUAAAGUCGAUGCUUUAAAGGAAUUUUGUAAGAAAUGAGUGUUAUCGGGAAGCGAAAGAAAGAACUCGUGUCCGUUGCUUGGGCAUUGUCAUUUCAAAAGGCCCCAAUAGUUUUAACAAAACAGCAGGAAAGGGAGGCUGUCAACCUUGAUUAUAAAUCCCUGCUCGAGAUCGAUGUUGACGGGUGUCACCUGAGAAUUCCAGAUCCUUUAGAGCUCAGAGAAGGUUGGGAGAAUGAGUCGACAGCAGCAAAUAAAUGGCCACCCUACAUGUACAUAGAUAAAAUAAUUAUCUGAUUAGCAAGGACGAGCAAAACUUGCUAACGAGACUUGCUAACGACUACAAAGAAGCUGCUUGUAAAAAGCAUUUUGAAACUCUAUGGAGGAACUACCGCUACAGUCAACCCAACAUGGCGGAUCAGGCGGAGGCCAUGAAGUCUUCUGCCCAGAGUCACCAGAGAAGAAAGAGACUGCUGGAUACCAGGAAAAUGGUCCUUGCUCCAGAUGAAGAGGACUUAUGGAAGGGCAUCACAACUGACAUGAUGUCAGAUGAGGAGGACGGCAGUGUUGACGGGGUGCGUGGAUGGAUAGUACGGCCUCCAUCCUUCCACAGCCAGGAGCUUGCCAACCUGCUGCACUACAGGCUGGAGGCUGAUGUGAGGAACACAGCUGCACAUCACAGGUGCUUUCACAGUGGACAGCCGUCUGAUAGACAUAAGUAUGACACAGCAGCAGCAAAGAGACAUUUUAAGCCGGAGCUGAUGCCUGAGACCAGCACAGUGUGAGAGACUAACUUGCCCAUUUUUUAGUUUUUAAUUUGUUUUGCAAUAUAUAUAUAUAUAUAUAUAUAUAUAUAUAUAUAUAUAUAUAUAUAUAUAUAUAUAUAUAUAUAUAUAUAUAUAGUUUAUCCUGUUUUAAUUUUAAUUUUGGAUUUUGGGAACUCUUGCAAUCUAUACUGU